UUUGAUGAUGAUACACCUAAA
rnacentral:piRNA from 1 species